ACAGAGCCAAAAAGCAAGAAACCAACAGUUAGACUAAACAAUUUCCCUUUGUUCCAGAACCCUUCACAUCCUUAUGUAACUUGGCUCUAUAUCAUGCAGCCUGAACAGUGCUGGGAUUCAAAUAUGUGAACAACUGGUUUUCUGUGUGGAUGCCGCUUCCGGAAGUCCAUUCUGGACCUGGGCAACAAAAAAUUAGCUACAGUUUCUGCCAAAGUGAUUUCUAUCGCUGUGAGAAAGCUAUGAAUGCCAAAGGCUCUGAUCCCUAUGUCUGUCAGUGCUUUAAAAAAGUAUACUCAUCCCUGUGCCCUUCUUUUUGGGUUGACAACUGGGAUGAACUUCAGGGAAAUGGCUAUUUUCCAGGCAAAAUAUGAUGGUCUUUUGUCUGCCAGUAGCUCCCCCUACUCAGGAUGUUGCACUGCUGAGUCCUUUCUAUGUGUGCAUCUGAAGGAUUGUCUGAAAUGGCUCUUGUCUGCUUGAGCAUCUGAAUCAUGUAAUAGUACAAAAUCUUGGAUAUUACCUGUUAUGUCCCGAGCCUUGCAAACAGGCUCGGUGCGUUUGCAGGCAGUCCCGGGCAGGUGCAAGCUGCCCGGGACCAGAC